GACAGUCAGCUGACGUCUGAGCCCCUUAUCGUUACAUAACCUCAGCAACCACGUUGUACUUUAUUGUUUCUCGUUCAUUUGAUUUACGAAUGAUUUCGCUAGUUCUGACACAAAAUACACAAUUUACAAAUAAUAACUUUUAUAGUCCGUCACAACAGUCCGCUGUCUCGGCUUUCUUUGUUUUUGUUUUGUGAGCUCACUCUUCUGGCGGAGCCCCUGCCAGAUGUCAGAUGCGGAUGGAAGAUAGCAGGAAGUAGCAGUCAGCCGUCGUUCCGUGCGGAGACACGGUUGAGGGAAACACCUGCAACGUUACGUGGAAAAUGUCUCCCAUCAAGGACUUCAAUCUGGUUUAUGAAGCUCUAAACAAAGAGGACACUGUCUCUCAAGGAGACACUGUCGCAGGCACAGUCACCUUCACUUUGAAGAAAGAAAUCAAAGUGAAGGGGCUGCUCGUGAAAGCCAAAGGCGAGGCGCGCGUCCACUGGAAAGAAGGCACCGGGGACAAGUCGAGAUCCUACAAUGCGCACCGGAGAUACUUCAAACUCAAAGAGUACUUAGUUGCAGAGGAUGAGAAAGGCACUGUACUUCCACGAGGAGAUCAUAUCUUUAAGUUCCGGUUCACAAUCCCACAGGGGGACAUGCCGUCAGCCUUCAAGGGGUUUCAUGGAAAGAUUGUCUACAUGCUCGAAGCAAAGAUGUCCAGGAGCUGGCAUUUGCCUUCUGGGGUACAAAAAGAGCUCAACUUCGUUUCAAAGUCCUGUUCCCACCCUGGCCAAGAAAUGUCUGGUUCAGUGGAUAAAAAGAUGGGCUGUUUCUCCGACGGACAGGUCCAAAUGUCUGCUACCAUUAACACAAACGUUUGCUCUCCAGGUGACACUGUGUCUGCUGUUGGCAAAAUAUGCAAUUCCUCUUCCAAACAAAUGAGGACCAAAUUCAGUUUACAGCAAAGAAUAGUGUACCGUGCCAACGCCUCCACUAAAAUCAGUGACCUAAGUCUGUGCAAAAUGGUUGGGGAGACCAUUGCACCCAAUUCAGAGGAAACUUUCUCCUGCCAGUUAAAGGUUCCAGGCGAUGUCAUCCACACUCUCCAUAAUUGUGAAAUCAUCUCAGUUCACCAUUACCUUAAGGUGUAUUUGGACAUCAGUUUUGCUAUUGACCCAACGGUGGUGUUUCCUCUGGUCAUAGUUCCUACUGGUGUCCCUGCCCUUCAGCCUGGCGAGGCUGUGGGGCCUUACCCAGCCGCUGUGGGGCCUUACCCAGCCGGAGAUUUUGGGACCCCAGGUUACAGCGACUUCCCUCCACCUGCCUUCCCUAUUGGACCUUAUCCUGUACCUGCAGGUCCAGGUGCUUAUGGUUACCCAGCUUAUGGGUACCCAACACCAGAUCCCACCCAAAAUUACAUAUCAAGUGGAUAUAAUAAUCAGUGGCCACAACAGGCGGCUCCAUUCGGUUUUUCAACGGCACCUUCAUCCUCAGUGCAGUACCCAACCCCGACUGCUCCACCUCUGUUUCAACAGGGAGAAGACCCUCCACCUUAUUUGUCCCUUUUCUCCCCUCAUUAGGGCCCUCUCAGUACAAACUGAGCUUCAAAAGGAACAAAUAAUCUUGAUUUAAACAAUACUGACAGAUAUUGAGGGCAUUUGAGCUAGUCCACUGAAUAUGUUUAAGUUGAUCAAGGUCUUUCACAUACUUUGGGGUGCAUCGUGACAGAGAAAAACAUCAUGUGACCAUGCGGGGCCCCAAAAGCUGUCCCGUUUGUCAAAGUAAGGAGUGGGCUAUCCUAUUCAGCUUGGGACACUGUCUUCUCCUUUAUAACAGAUUUAUGCUCUUUGGAUCUAAUUGGUAGUCCAUGGAGCGGUAGCACACAGGUUGUAAACACUUGUGCUUGCCUGUCAUAGUGGUAAACAAGAAAUGUGUUGAAGAAAUGAACACAGCAUAAACAUAUGGCCCAUGGGGAUACAUAGUGACCACCAUAGUUGCAGCUGGAGAGUAGAAAUAGCACAACACAAAAAGCAUCCUUCAGGUUAAGCAAUUGCUUAAUGACAGAGCAUUUAAAAGGAAAUCUAUCCAUCCAUCCAUCCAUUAUCAUCCGCUUAUCCGGGGUCGGGUCGCGGUGGCAGCAGGUUCAGCAGGCCGACCCAGGCUUCCCU